rnacentral:rRNA from 1 species
AGUGAACGCUGGCGGUAGGCCUAACACAUGCAAGUCGAACGGCAGCACAGUAAGAGCUUGCUCUUACGGGUGGCGAGUGGCGGACGGGUGAGGAAUACAUCGGAAUCUACUUUUUCGUGGGGGAUAACGUAGGGAAACUUACGCUAAUACCGCAUACGACCUACGGGUGAAAGCAGGGGAUCUUCGGACCUUGCGCGAUUGAAUGAGCCGAUGUCGGAUUAGCUAGUUGGCGGGGUAAAGGCCCACCAAGGCGACGAUCCGUAGCUGGUCUGAGAGGAUGAUCAGCCACACUGGAACUGAGACACGGUCCAGACUCCUACGGGAGGCAGCAGCGGGGAAUAUUGGACAAUGGGCGCAAGCCUGAUCCAGCCAUACCGCGUGGGUGAAGAAGGCCUUCGGGUUGUAAAGCCCUUUUGUUGGGGAAGAAAAGCAGCAGGUUAAUACCCCGCUGUUCUGACGGUACCCAAAGAAUAAGCACCGGCUAACUUCGUG